CCUACGGGCGGCAGCAGUGAGGAAUAUUGGUCAAUGGGCUUACGCCUGAACCAGCCAAGUCGCGUGAGGGAAGACUGCCCUAUGGGUUGUAAACCUCUUUUGUCAGGGAGCAACGCCGGCUACGUGUAGCCGGACUGAGAGUACCUGAAGAAAAAGCAUCGGCUAACUCCGUGCCAGCAGCCGCGGUAAUACGGAGGAUGCGAGCGUUAUCCGGUUUUAUUGGGUUUAAAGGUGGCGUAGGCGGAAUGCCAAGUCAGCGGUAAAAUCGCGGGGCUCAACCUCGCUCCGCCGUUGAAACUGGCGGUCUUGAGUGGGCGAGAAGUAUGCGGAAUGCGUGGUGUAGCGGUGAAAUGCAUAGAUAUCACACAGAACUCCGAUUGCGAAGGCAGCAUACCGGCGCCCAACUGACGCUGAAGCACGAAAGCGUGGGUAUCGAACAGGAUUAGAUACCCUAGUAGUC
rnacentral:rRNA from 1 species